UACAUAAGUACAGAAAUCUUCUCUCUCAAUGAGUUCUCUGGAAGAGGUGGGGUUUAAAGCAUUGAUAUCUGAUGCAAUCUUGUUAAACUUCUGUUAGAGUGAGCAUAAGAAACACACACAAUGAACCUCCAUUCUGUCAUUCUGCUUUCUGUCUUUGCAUAUCUAACAUAUGGAAAUGAAAUUAAACCAACCAAAACUUUGGAGUUUGCUGAGGAGGGUUCAAGUGUUAAAUUAUCCUGCAGUUAUUCAUCUGCAUACAAUCUUCACUGGUACCGUCGGUAUCCUGGAUCAGCUCCUCAGUUCAUUGUGCUCAUCUCAGACAGUGCAAAAGACGAUCAGGAGUCUAAUGUAGAUUCCAGAUUCAAGGCUAAAGUCACUAAAGACAAUAAAGAAAACCAUGUGGAUCUGGAGAUCUCCUCUGCAUCUAUAACAGACUCUGCUCUGUACUACUGUGCUCUGGAGCCCACAGUGACAGGAAACACAAGAAACCUGUACAAAAACCUGACAUAACUAAAACUCUAGCUUUAACAAAUUAGACUGGAGCACAUCACAAUCUGAGAAUGACAUUCCCAAAAUAUUAACUCAGACACGGAUAAAAUGCAUUCCAAUCUCCAUGUUUAAAAUAAGUUAUAAUAACUUUGUAAUAGGAUACAUUAAGAAAUAAAAUAAAAUUAAAUAAACGAAAAGUAAUGAAAAGAAAAGAAAAAAAAACCACAUGGCAAUAUGUACCAUAUAUUCAUAUUUUCU